CAAAUUUUAGUUUAAUUAAAAAUUAUUCAUUUACACUGAAUUGAUAUAAAAUUAUUUUUAUAGAUUUGA
rnacentral:tRNA from 1 species